AGGAGGAGAAGGAGAAGGAGAAGGAGAAGGAGAAGGAGAAGGAGAAAGAAGGAGAAGAAGAAGGCGGCCCUGGAGUGAAGGGGGUAGCAAGGGUAGAGGCAGGAAAACUGAUGAAGCCACUUCAGGGACAUGGUGUUUGGUCCACCCAGGACCCCAACAAAGGCUGGGACACUCAUUGGAAUGAAUUCUGGACAUCCUGUUGUCUUUCAUCUUUAUUCCUGGAUUCAUACCAUUUACUUAACUUAGUUGCCAUUCAAUCUAUCCUUAAAACAUCCACAUCCACAACUACAACUGUCUGUCAGAGCACACUGAUCAGCUCCAAGUACCUGAAUCCCUGUCCAUCUCACUCGGCUGUCCUCCUACCUUUCUCUCAUGUCUUUAGGGUUCCAAGAUACCACCGCACCCCAUUUAUCCUUCUCCUUGGUCCUGCUACUCUUCCUGUUCACUAAGAGGGAUCCCCGCGGAAAAAGCUCUGCCACAACUUCCACCUCCUGGAAGGCAAUCUCUUCUGUGCUCAAGGCUUUCACUCACUCCUGGAAGGUACAAGGAAACAGUAUCCUGAACAGUGCUCUGGGUGAAGAGCUUCAGAUCUCUCCCAGCCCAGGAUUCUGGUGGCGAUGGUGUCCCCAAAGGAAUUGGCAGAGCAGAUCGAUGAUGCCUGCCCUGACCACAUUGCUCACUCUAGAAUAUUCUACAAGAGAAGCAGUGGGAGGGCCACUGGAAUGUGUCAUGGCGCAUACUUCCUUCUGGCCCUACUCCUUGACAGCCACCAGUCUGCAAUGCCAGCUCUCCCUGGGGCCUCCCUGAUGAGGAGGGGGAAGGAGCAGCCUCUGAAGCCCCACCUGCACUCCUCCACCAUCGGCCCCUCUCAGAGCUCCAACUUGGAUUGUCACUCUUCCUGCCUUGUUACCAUGGUCCCACCUAAUAAACUUAACUAUAAACUG